GGACACAGUACUAGGUUAACAUUUGGGGAGUCCGGGUGAAAAAUAUGUGGUCAUUCUUUGAAUUAUUCUUGCAACUUUUCUCUAAGUUACAUCAAAAUAAAACAUUUCGAAAAGUUAAUGGUCGGAAGGAGACGCAAGCGUGUCACAGGAGGAAAGCACGAAGGCCACAUGCUGGACCACAGGGGCAGCGGGGAAGGCUGGGCAGGCUGUGGGCAGGGAGGCCAGGCUGUUGGGAGAGGACCAGAGACACUGCCUUGACCCCUCCGUGAGCAUCCUGAAGGAUUCCAGAACCAACUUCCAAAUCCAGUCUGCUCUCCCCUGUAGCUACUCAGAGACAGGCACGCCCACAUGGUCAGGGAGAGUGGCUUCCCCAGUGGAGUGGCCUCUACUAUGGAGGUCCAUGUGACAUGCCACCCUCCCCAACGCAGGACAGGAGAGGGGCAUUGGGCUGCUGGGCCUCGUGAACAUAACUCUCUGGGGAAGUGGGAGAAAUACACUCUGAACAGGUACCCAGAGAAGGUGAUGAUGAAUCCCUCCAAGGUCACACAGGAAGCUGGACUGCACUAGAGCAUGGAGUUGGAAGUUCCCAAGUGCAUUUUCAUUCCUUUCCCCACCAAGACUCUGCUACAAAAGGGCUCCUGUUGGUCUCCAGGCCUGGCUUCUUGAAAUUCAGAUACCAUCUCUCCAUGUUCCCCGCGGCAGCUGUCCGCGAGGGGAGGCAAUGUGCGCCCUUCCCCAAACAGGGACUUUGGAUCCCACAGGCCUCGGUGACAUCACUUCUACUGGGAUGGCCUUGGGCAAGUGACGUAACCUUCCCGGGCUUCAGUGUCCUCAACUGGAAAGUGAGGACCACGAAGCCACCC
rnacentral:lncRNA from 1 species